CAGUCAGGGGUUGAAAAUGGGAGGGGGUGGGAGGGGGCAGGGGCCAGGCUGUUUGGGGAGGCCCAGCCUUUCCUACCCGGCUCUCCAUACCAUUUUGCCAC